rnacentral:rRNA from 1 species
UGGGGAAUAUUGCACAAUGGAGGGAACUCUGAUGCAGCGACGCCGCGUGAGUGAUGAAGGAAUUCGUUUCGUAAAACUCUGUUCUAUGGGAAGAAAAGGACUGUACCAUAGGAGAAAGCUCCGGCUAAAUACGUGCCAGCAGCCGCGGUAAUACGUAUGGAGCGAGCGUUGUCCGGAAUUAUUGGGCGUAAAGGGUGCGCAGGCGGCUUUACAAGUUGGAUGUGAAAUAUUGUGGCUCAACCACAAACGUGCAUCCAAAACUGCAAAGCUUGAGUUAAGGAGAGGUAAGUGGAAUUCCUGGUGUAGCGGCGGAAUGCGUAGAUAUCAGGAGGAAUACCGGUGGCGAAGGCGACUUACUGGACUUAAACUGACGCUCAGGCACGAAAGCGUGGGGAGCAAACAGG